CGAAAGCCUGACGGAGCAACGCCGCGUGAGGGAUGAAGGCCUCUGGGCUGUAAACCUCUUUUCUCAAGGAAGAAGAUCUGACGGUACUUGAGGAAUAAGCCACGGCUAAUUCCGUGCCAGCAGCCGCGGUAAUACGGGAGUGGCAAGCGUUAUCCGGAAUUAUUGGGCGUAAAGCGUCCGCAGGCGGCCUUGUAAGUCUGCCGUUAAAGCGUGGAGCUCAACUCCAUUUCAGCAAUGGAAACUACAAGGCUUGAGUGUGGUAGGGGCAGAGGGAAUUCCCGGUGUAGCGGUGAAAUGCGUAGAUAUCGGGAAGAACACCAGUGGCGAAGGCGCUCUGCUGGGCCAUAACUGACGCUCAUGGACGAAAGCCAGGGGAGCG
rnacentral:rRNA from 1 species